GCUCAGAACGAACGCUGGCGGCAGGCUUAACACAUGCAAGUCGAACGCCCCGCAAGGGGAGUGGCAGACGGGUGAGUAACGCGUGGGAACAUACCCUUUCCUGCGGAAUAGCUCCGGGAAACUGGAAUUAAUACCGCAUACGCCCUACGGGGGAAAGAUUUAUCGGGGAAGGAUUGGCCCGCGUUGGAUUAGCUAGUUGGUGGGGUAAAGGCCUACCAAGGCGACGAUCCAUAGCUGGUCUGAGAGGAUGAUCAGCCACAUUGGGACUGAGACACGGCCCAAACUCCUACGGGAGGCAGCAGUGGGGAAUAUUGGACAAUGGGCGCAAGCCUGAUCCAGCCAUGCCGCGUGAGUGAUGAAGGCCUUAGGGUUGUAAAGCUCUUUCACCGGAGAAGAUAAUGAC
rnacentral:rRNA from 1 species